GACACAGUUGCAUAGUUUUUCGAAAGRCCCGACAUUAUGGUUUUAAAAAUYCAGCUUACUUUUGUUUUAUUGGCUUUAGUAAGCUUAGUUUGUCAAGCUGCUGUUAUACAUUAUCCGCCGCCAGGCAAAAGAGGAGUAACGYUUUCGUCAAAAAGGAGGAACCUCAACGCUAAAACAGAGUAUAGUAGCUCAAUGCAGCCAGAUGAAACUCUAACAAACAAUGAAUUACUGAUAAGGAAUAACAACAAACCUCCUCAAAAUACUCGACAMUCAAGAUAUCAUGGAGCAAAUUGCAACUAAUUGCAACUUUUAUGAUAUAUAAGCGACCAAUAGUAUAUUUUCUUAGUUCGAUUUAACAAUUGUAUUUCAGUUAAUAUCAUUUCCAACUGAUGUUCUUAUAUAUUUGAAUACAAAUUAUUAACUUAAUAUGCUGUAAUUUCAAUAAAAAUGUAUAUUAU